GGCGUGUACACCGGGACACGUACGUAUACGGCCUACGAGCUAUUUAUACGACCACCGAUAAAUUUCCUCGGGUUUUUUUUUCCCCCGCCUUAUUAUCGCGAGUUUAGUCUCGCCCGGUGUAGGUAGGCACCCGCGAUUAUAAUAUAUUAGUAACAUUAUUACCGUAUAAUGACGUGACGAGGAGGAAACGAGGGGAAAAAAAAAAGAUACCCUAGCGCCGUGAAUAUGAUUAUCGUACGUAAACUGACCGUUU